GAGUUUGAUCCUGGCUCAGAUUGAACGCUGGCGGCAUGCCUUACACAUGCAAGUCGAACGGCAGCACGGGAGCUUGCUCCUGGUGGCGAGUGGCGAACGGGUGAGUAAUGCAUCGGAACGUAUCCUGGAGUGGGGGAUAACGUAGCGAAAGUUACGCUAAUACCGCAUAUUCUGUGAGCAGGAAAGCGGGGGACCUUCGGGCCUCGCGCUCUUGGAGCGGCCGAUGUCGGAUUAGCUAGUUGGUGAGGUAAAGGCUCACCAAGGCGACGAUCCGUAGCAGGUCUGAGAGGAUGAUCUGCCACACUGGAACUGAGACACGGUCCAGACUCCUACGGGAGGCAGCAGUGGGGAAUUUUGGACAAUGGGGGCAACCCUGAUCCAGUCAUGCCGCGUGAGUGAAGAAGGCC
rnacentral:rRNA from 1 species